rnacentral:rRNA from 1 species
UACGUAGGUGGCAAGCGUUGUCCGGAUUUACUGGGCGUAAAGAGCGCGCAGGCGGUCGAUCAAGUCGCGUGUGAAAGCCCCCGGCUCAACUGGGGAGGGUCACGCGAUACUGGUCGACUCGAAGGCAGGAGAGGGUAGUGGAAUUCCCGGUGUAGUGGUGAAAUGCGUAGAUAUCGGGAGGAACACCAGUGGCGAAGGCGACUACCUGGCCUGUUCUUGACGCUGACGGCGCGAAAGCUAGGGGAGCAAACGGGGAUUAAGAAACCCC